UUUCCGUUGGUGAACCAGCGGAAGGAUCAUUACUGAGAUCGUGCCCUUAACGGGGUAGACCUCCCACCCUGUGUUAUUACGAUUGUUGCUUUGGCAGGCCGCCCUCGGGCGCUCGGCUUCGGCUGAGGCGUGCCUGCCAGAAGACCCAAACCCUGUAUUUAGUGUUGUCCGAGUACUAUUUUAAUACGUUAAAACUUUCAACAACGGAUCUCUUGGUUCUG
rnacentral:misc_RNA from 1 species